rnacentral:lncRNA from 1 species
AAACAAAAAACACAUGCCCGUAAUAUUGAACGUGUUGUCCGUGAUCCUGAAGUAAGAAAUCACAUUUUCUGCCCUGAUUCUCUCCCCGCAGAUCGAGCCAAAAAGGGUUGGUGGCCAACACUUAAGCUAGUUUCCAGUCCGGAUUCAUCAGGAAAAUCUUCAAGGAUUCGGUUUUCAUGAAGUCGAUGAUUGUUUCAUUUCAUAAAAGGAUUGAGAUUCUCCUGUAAAAGGCCACAUUCAGAUACACCAAAUAGACUUUGUGAGCG